rnacentral:sRNA from 1 species
ACACCAGACACAAGUUGUUUCCUUGUUCGUUUUUCCUGUAAUAUUUUCCAAAAUUUGAAUAUUGAAAAAGGAAAAAGGAAAAAGGAAACAACUUGUGUCUGGUGU